AACUAUCUCCAAAAUAGUGCAACUUUUGUUUAAAGAGUGCAAUUUUCAUCUUAAAGGUUGCAGUUUAUAUCUCAAAAAGUAUAACUUACGUCUAUAAUAGUGCAACAUUCUUCUAUAACAGUGUUUGUUAUGCCCCAGAUCCGAAUGCUCGGAUCCGAACCGCAACAACCGGCCACGAAUUUAGAGGAAGAACUUUUGAAAACGAAAAGCCUUAAAUUGAUCCAAAGCCACUAUCUCAGUUAAAGACUAAAUAAUUUAUUAAUUAAAACAAAACUAAACAAUAACUACUAGAUGUCCAAUUAAUCAACCUCAAAUCAAAAUAAAUCAUAUAUCCAAAAUUUAAAAUCUAUCUAACGAGUUCUCGCCGGCCAAUUAUCUUACACGCCCUGACUCUGUACCUGAAACGGUGGACGACAAAAGUAAGCGCAAUGCUUAACAAGAAAUCUACUUCAAGGUUAACGAUAAAUUUUAAAUUUGAAACCACAAUGGUCAUGGUUUAGAGCAUCUCCACUCUGUCGCUCUAACCACGAAAGCUACAAUUACGCGUCGUUCCUCCUCGAAAACCGCGUACAGGAUGAAUCCCUCUCCUUCGAGGAAUCCGACCGCAACAGUCAUAAACAACAAUAAAUCAUGAUAAUAAUAAUGUGUAAAAUAAAUAAAUCAUGCCAGUCAAUAAUAACUAUAAAAUCCACUCGGAAGUAUUAACAACUAGUAAACAAAACAGAUAAUAAUCGUGUCCUGAACCCACUCGGAUCCACAUAUUUUCUACCGUUUGCAAAAAAGUAGCUAUUUACUUUCCUCUAUUAGUGCUCACAUAUUCGUCACGUUUUAAGAUUGAGGUUUUACAGCUGUCUCAGCAUCUACAACAACGAAAAGACCCAAAUAAAAUAUAUUUUCAAACAAGCCCUUUAACUAUUAAAAAUUCUGUAAAAAUUAUACAGUAAAUUAGGAUAAUUAGACCACACGAUCUUAUCCGUAUUUUCAAGAUGAGUCUUAUAGCUCUUGAAUCGCAAAAUUUUGCCUUACGGACAAAAAGUUAUGCCUCUUUACGGAUCAGUC
rnacentral:lncRNA from 1 species